rnacentral:tRNA from 1 species
GGGGCUGUAGCUCAGUUGGUAGAGCACCGGCUUUGCAAGCCGGGUGUCGCCGGUUCGAGUCCGGUCAGCUCCA